rnacentral:tRNA from 15 species
UGGCGCGAUUGAUAGCGUAUCAGACUUCGAAUCUGGGGGGUUCGCGGGUUCGAGUCGCGUC